rnacentral:rRNA from 1 species
AACGAACGCUGGCGGCAUGCCUAACACAUGCAAGUCGAACGAGACCCCUGACUUCGGUUGGCGGGUCUAGUGGCGCACGGGUGCGUAACGCGUGGGAAUCUGCCCUUGGGUUCGGAAUAACUCAGAGAAAUUUGAGCUAAUACCGGAUGAUGACGAAAGUCCAAAGAUUUAUCGCCCAGGGAUGAGCCCGCGUAAGAUUAGCUUGUUGGUGGGGUAAUGGCCUACCAAGGCGACGAUCUUUAGCUGGUCUGAGAGGAUGAUCAGCCACACUGGGACUGAGACACGGGCCCAGACUCCUACGGAGGCAGCAGUGGGAAUAUUGGACAAUGGGCGCAAGCCUGAUCCAGCAAUGCCGCGUGAGUGAUGAAGGCCUUAGGGUUGUAAAGCUCUUUUACCAGGAUGAUAAUGACAGUACCUGGUAGAAAUAAGACUCCGGCUAACUCCGUGCCAGCAGCCGCGGUAAAAGUCAACGUCG